GCAAGGGACGGGCAGGGUCGUGGCGACACUCGCGCCAGCUCCCGGGACGCCGGGUCGGCUGGGCGCGGGCUGGUCGCCGGUCUCCGACCCUCCACUG
rnacentral:miRNA from 1 species